GGGUUUUGUUUUUGAUUUGGUUAAAUGCAGCUUUUGCAGAGAAACGAUGAAAAUGUUUUUGACUGUUGUGAAAACUGAAGUGGCUCUAAAUCAGUUUUAGUAACUCUGGGAUUCUCAAAUUUGUCCUCACAGAGAAAAACCAGUCUGCAUCCAUCUUCCACUAUCAUCUAUUUGCUGCAUCCUUUUUGUCUCUGUUAUCUGUGGGAUUAACAAAAUAACUAGCAGCUGCUCACCUUUUACUGCAAACAGCUCUACAAUAAAGCAGGUCACCAGUAGAGAAAGAACUUGACCUCAUGUCCAAUAACUAAAAGUAUUAAUUUUCUCACAGAUUUUGUUUUUCAAGAGAAAAAAGCAAAAUUAAGUAAAACAAAACACCCACAAAAACCCACCAAUCCAACAUUUUGCAGCUAUUUUCAAUGCUGAUUCUGUUCUCUGUCUUUAAUCCUGCCCAGAAACAGACAAUCUUACAUUUGCACUGUAGCCCUAAACCCUUCUACAUAUCACCUCAUAGAGGUUCAAAUGAAAAUAUAAUCCAGCUGUCCAUUCAGACAAAUUAACUAUGUAAGACACACUCACAUUCUGGUAACUGAGAAAUGCACGUACCCAUCUGACCCAUCAGAGCACGGACACUGGACAAAUGGGACGUCCUGUGGAGUCUGAAACAGGACGUUGGCAGCAGAUCAGUGAAUCAGACUUGUUCUGCUGAAUCUUGAUUUUGUUGUUGUUGUUGUUGUUGUUGUUGUUGUAUUCCUCAAGCCAUUUCAGAGCAGCUGAUGGAGUGUCUGAAUUGGUCUGGAUGGGUGCAGCAUGUCAAUCUAAACCUCACCUAAUUCAGGGUAUUUUCAACACCUGGCUGUGGCCUGAGGCAGAGGAGACACCGUGAGAGAGAAAAUAGAGACAAUAAAGUCCAAAAAACAAA